rnacentral:lncRNA from 1 species
UUAUUUUGAUUCUAGUUGGAGAAUUAUAUUUAGUACUUCAUUGAUGGAUAUCGUUAUUAAUAUUUUGAAGUUAUUAGUGCUCUGUUUAUUUAUUUUGAGGUUUGUUGUGCUUUGUACGUGACCUCCCUUUCCUUUUCGGGAAGGGGGUGUUACACCGGUCAUCCCUCUCGAUUUGUGAGUAAUCUUUUCUUGUUCUUCUUUAUUUUUCAUACCUAAUAUCCUUAAACCCCUAAUCUCGUCUUUUACAAAGACUUGUUGUGAUAACCCAAAUUUU